rnacentral:lncRNA from 1 species
CUCUGAGUCAGAAUAAAGAAAUAGGAAACACUGCCAAAAAGAACAAGAAAAAGAGCAUAUUUUUAGUGAGGGACAUCAGCGAUUAUUCUUUUAUUGGAAUCCUUUUUGUAAUCAAACGAAAAGCUUGUAAUGUUCACAUACCCACCUCUAUAGGAAUUCCUUGAAUAUUUUGUUUAGUGUGCAGAGGCAUAGCUUCAGCUGGCCAAUGGAAAGAGACAAUUCUCGGUUUGUUUUUCGCUGGGGACUUCCAUGCCACACAGGCUUUUAGUUUGACCUUUACAUUUUCUUCAGAGGACAAGAAGUUGAAGCCUGCAGGAUAACCAGAAAUACCCAACAUGGCACAGCUGCUCUGGAGAAAACCUAAACCUCAGUUGAGCACAAGAAGUAGUAAACAUCUGGGGAUCAUUUGAAACUGUAGCUGCUCACUCACUAUGGAAGACAUGAAAGAAGCAGUUAAUGUUUCUUUUCUGGUCUGCACUGACCAAAACAAGUGGAAAGGAAUGGCAACCAGUUUCCUCAGAGCUGUCCCUGCAUUUGAAAUCCUGCCAGUACCGUGGAGCAAGCAAGCUCAGGAGUUGGCCCAUCAUCUUCUCAGCAGUAUCUUCCUUUUCUAAGAGAUUUUUGAGGAGUGUAACUACAAAAGCAUUCCUCCCCAUAACAUACCAGCAAGGCUCACAUAUCAUAGUCCCUUCCUUCCAAAUGGGGUAUUUCUUUGCUGCACCUGGAAAGAAUGCCAGAAUCCCAGCUGUUAAAAGUUGGAUUUCAGUGAAGUCAGAGGGGAACCUGAAAUCACCAAAGGUCCAAGUGACAUAUAAACCUAACAGCAUGAAUGAAGGAAAGGUUCUUAUCUGUCACAGACUAAUUGGCUGAGGCCUACUGUUUCACAUAUCAGAUCUCUCCCUGCUGUUCAGAGAAUCUUGACUAAAAUAAAUCUGUGCCAGAAAUAAUUUAUUCUUCUAUA